GUUUCUAUAGUUGAUUUACAACGAUGAUUUUUCAUGUCAUUGGUCACAGUAUAAUGCUGUGUAGAAAUA
rnacentral:tRNA from 1 species